GAUGAACGCUGGCGGCGUGCCUAAUACAUGCAAGUCGAGCGAAUGGAUUAAGAGCUUGCUCUUAUGAAGUUAGCGGCGGACGGGUGAGUAACACGUGGGUAACCUGCCCAUAAGACUGGGAUAACUCCGGGAAACCGGGGCUAAUACCGGAUAAUAUUUUGAACUGUAUGGUUCAAAAUUGAAAGGCGUCUUCGGCUGUCACUUAUGGCUGGACCCGCGUCGCAUUAGCUAGUUGGUGAGGUAACGGCUCACCAAGUCAACGAUGCGUAGCCUACCUGAGAGGGUGAUCGGCCACACUAGGACGGAGACACGGCCCAGACUCCGACGGGAGGAAGCAGUAGGGAAACUUCCGCAAUGGACGAAAGUCUGACGGAGCAACGCCGCGUGAGUGAUGAAGGCUUUCGGGUCGUAAAACUCUGCUGUUAGGGAAGAACAAGUGCUAGUUGAAUAAGCUGGCACCUUGACGGUACCUAACCAGAAAGCCACGGCUAACUACGUGCCAGCCGCCGCGGUAA
rnacentral:rRNA from 1 species